rnacentral:lncRNA from 1 species
UUUUUUUUUUUUUUUUUUUUUUUUUCAUUUGCACCUCAGGACACCUUUUCUUUUUUUCCUUGUCCCCAGAUUAACAUUUUGCUGUUUUUCCCAAAGUUAUUCCUAGGGGAAAACAAACAGAAAUGACCCAGGCAGAUUUUUCUGUCCCCUUCCCGCAGGCUCACAUAAUUUUAUUCUCAUAAUUUUUUUUUCCAUUUGCUUUGCUUAUAAGUCAGAGUUUUGCAUGUUUGCUACUUGGAAUCCUGUCAAAGCAAUAUACAUCAUGUCUGUAGCAAAGGAAGGUUAAAAGUCAAAUUUUUGGAGAGAGAGAAUCCAGCUGAGCCAUGUGACUGCUCCCAGAUUAGCAGCAGUAGCAGGAGUAAGCAUUCCUCUGAUAUUACAGUAGCCACCGUGGGACAUGCCUGAAACUCUGCAGGGAGAAGCUGCAGCUUGGAAGCCUCCUGCAGAUCUCUUUGUGACUAAAUCACUCCUUGCUCUUUUCCCUAUCUUUCUAGGUACUUUCCUGCUUCCUAGGUUUCCGUUUCAGAAAGGGCUGAUAAAGAACAAAAAUGGGAGGGAGCCCUGUGGCACAGGUCGGGAAAGAAGUUAUAUUACUACCCUUAACUCUGCCCUUUGUAAUCUUUGCUGUGCAAAUGGAAAUGUUAAGGGCUCCAGUGAAAGGGGAACAGUAAAUAGAUGUCUUUAUUAUUGUUUGUUAUAGUGGCAGCUGGGAGUAGAAGAGAUAUUAGUGAGCUAAUCAAUUGCUUCGUACUGGGCUCUCUGGAUGAAAGCAAGCUGCUAAAAAGCAUAUUCAGAGAGAUUUAGGAUAUCUAAGGCUGAAUGUAGGUGUCCCUAUUCAGCACUUGCAUGGAAAAUGGCAUCCUCAAACAUGGUGGCUUUGAUUCAUUGCAGGAGAUGAAAUUCCUUGUGUAUUCCCACACACCAAUGACCUUGACUGUUUGAGAUUUUUCCUAAACAUCUGUUGAACACCAGGCGGAGGAAAAGUUUUUAAAAGAGCUCACCAGCUCCACCUUUACAAUUAAUGAUAAACUACAUUUUCUACAAAUUGCCCAAUUAGAAAUGCUGCUUCAAGAGGCAUAUUUGACUCCUGCUGUUUGCUGUUUCAGAGACCUGAGGGAAUAAGAGUGUGAGUGUGUGUGUGAAUGGGGAUCUGGGGAGAUUCCCAGCAUCUCCCCAGCAUCCAGAGCAGACAGCCUCCCUGGGAACACAUCCAGAGCACGCUGAAGGCCUGUGGAAGCAUGCAACAGGCAGCAAAAAGAGUCUUUUGGAAAAGAUGAGUAGUUACAAAGGGGACCCUCCAGUUUUCAGUACAUUUUCCAAGUGGCUGUAUUCUGUACAGCCCCAUUGUUUGGGGUUGUGCAGUGGAAUGGGAUGAGAAAAAUUCCUUCUGGCAAUUUGCCCUGGAGUUAGUUUCUCCAGCCUUUCAAGAGCAGGAGCCAAGCUCAUCCUAUGAAGGUGCUCGAACAGGAAUAUCACAAUAUCACCAUUGCAUGUUAGACACGCCUGGUGACUCAGGAGGUCUAUGCUCUAAUGCAAAUGAAAACAUGAUUCAGCAAAACCUUUCAAUUCCUGCUUAAUUUUAAAUAUUGAAUAAUGCUUCUGAUUCCUCUGGGGUUGUUCAUGUGAUUUUCAUUCUAUGCUUUACUAGGUUGCCUACAUAUGAACAUGAAGCUGCCAUGAAGCAGCACAAAAAAUAAACAAGGUUUGGCACUCACACAUGAGUAUAUUUGUGUCUCACAAACGUCUUGACUUUAGGUACUGUUGGUAGGAGGUCUAAGGGACAACAAAAAUGGGCUAAGAUGAAAAAAUAUUCAGUUCAUUGCCCCCCCUUUCCAUGAGGGAAAUGCUGAAAACCACAGGUGUCUGUGCUUUUCAGUGCCAAUGAAAAACCGAGGUGGCUUUGAGAAUAACAUGACAAAGCUGCACUCAGAAUUUCAGCGGCUGCAAGGACAAGGGAGUGGGCUGUUUUCUGGCUUUGAUCUGCCUCUUGGCACAGUGGCCGUGUGUCACCCUCUAGAUGGGUGACACCACCCCCUUUAAAGCCUGCUCCCCACAGAGAGCGGCCGAGGAGCUUCUCAGAUUUUCCAUCGAGAGGUUUUUCCAUUCUUCCCUGCUGGGAGAGGUGAGGUUUGUAUCAGGGUGGUGAUAAGGUGAAAGGCAUUUUCCUAAAGCAAGAGAAAGAGCAGACAGCAGUACAGCAGUGUUGCCAAGCGCCGAGAGGGCCGCGGGGAGAUGGAAAUAAAGCACCUUUGCCCUUUGUGCCCACUGGCUUCUCCCCUCCUCCCCAGAACAAGCAGACCAGGAGGACAAAGUCCAGCUGUGGGGCUGAGACGUGCAGGGGACAUCAGCAGCUCUGCCAUGCCUGGCACCAGCUGGGAUGCAGGGCUGGAUCAGGACCCGUGCCCGUGCCAGGUGAGGGUGGUGGGGCUUCAUCUGCUGAGGGCUGGUCCCCCUGGGGAUCCCCCAACAGCCCAGCACCCCAGUCCCAUCCCAGAGCCACACACCUGCCUGGGGAAAACCCUCCCCAGGCUCUCCUACAGCCCCUGGAUGCUGAUUCUCAGGACUGUGCUGCAGGAGGCUGUGCUUUUCUGUGCUGUUUGUCCUCUCUGCCUGCCCCAUCCACGCUGCAGCCACGAAAUGGAGCCAGGCCUUGCUCUUCAGGAACACGUGUGCUCCUCCCCAUGCUGUGUGCUGCAGCUCCACCAAAGAGGUGCUGAAGUGUCUUUUAUGAAUAUCAAUGUGGAUUUCGUAAGAGUGAUUUAAAUAUAGCUGCCUGCUUUCCUGGGAGACCCUGUGGCUGUAUUCUCACUGCAGCAAAAGCUGCACCAUCUGCCCAGCAUUCGCAGCCGCUUCCCAGAGACCGCCAGGGACUUGUCAUUCUGCAUUUGGCGUGCUCAGGGCUCCAAAAGGAAGGAUUUCUGGGGAAAGGAUGGAUGGGCAGGCUCCAGCACAUUCAGAUGUGCAGCUCAGGUGCAUUUAUGUAGCACUGUGCCCUGGGAAAGCUGGACACAGCUCUGAGCAGCCUGCUCUAAGGUGGAAGCCAGCCCAGCUCUGAGCAGGGGCCGGACCUCCAUAGGUCCCUCACAGCCUUAAUUAUCCUGUGGUUCAGUGAGAAAUUCAGUGUAGGAUAUAACCAUAUGGCAGAGGAAUAGCAAGGAAAUCUGAACUCCGAGGGCACCGGUGACAUUUUCUGUCUUGCUCUUGUUUCUUGUGACUCCCUCCAAGCUCCUUGAGCGUGGUUCAGCCCCGUUCCACAGCCAUGGCUUGUCUCCAGAGUUACUGGAACCUUGCUGCUCUGCAAGUGAAAACCCACCACUUCUCCCAUCUUUGUUUUUUAAAGCAAAGUGAUUAAAAUGCAGUUGGGCUUGUGCCCAGGUAAAGCACAAGAAAGUCAGGCAGUCAUUCUUUCCUUGUGUUAAGUAUGUAAAGUUUUGCAAGCGAAUAAGACUUUUUCUGUUUAGGGUAAGCAAAUAUGCCUUGAACCUGGGGAGUGUCCAAUUCUUAGUGAUUGUUUAUUUCACCAAGGCAUAAAUUACUGUGCCUUCAGGACAAAGCUAAUAGAAAAAAUGCUAAUUAGUGCUGGUCAAAAAUUUUCCAGUGGAACAUUUUUUCUGUCAGAAACUCUCCUGAUUAGUCAAAGUUGAAAUGUUCCAGGAGACCAUGUUGAUUUUGCUGAGCUUCAAAUGGCACGGGGUGAGCUGAGGUGGGGUGGGAGUAAGGAAAGGGGGAAUCCAUCAAAACCCUCUUGCUGAUUCCCUGACAAAUUAUCUGCUUGGCUGCCAGCCUUGUGGCACUGCUGAGGAUCAGAGUUUGGGGCAAUCUGCCAUGCAGAAAACGUGCUGAUGAACAAGUUGUGAAAAUUCCCGUUUCCUGGAUGUGAGCUGUAAAUACAGAAGUCAGGGAGCCUGUCCCAUUUCCCCAGCUCCCUUCCACUGGACACCAGCCUGGGAAGGUGCAGGCAGAAUGGCACAUCAGCAUUCCCAGAUGGAUCCUUCAGGCAGCUGAGUCAGACCUGCUCCUCAGCUUGUGAAAGAGAAGACAUGAAUUUUGUUCUGGGGUUUCUGCUGGGAGAAAGGGACGAGCUGCUCUGAUAUGAUCUGUGCUCAUUUGAACUCGGGCUUCUGCAGGUGCAGCUUUUCCACCUGUGACACACCAGAUCUGUGUGCAGUGCUUUUUUACAUCUCCCACUUCCCUGUCUGCUGGCAGAGCUGCCUCUGCAGGUGAGGAGACGAGCACCAGAGCACUGUGAUAUUCACUGUGAAUUCAGAAACAGCGACGUGGGCUUCCCUUUGCAUGCGCCUUGGGGGGCUCUGUGGCCAGAGAGGGGCUGAGGAGCCCACGAGUGUGGACGUGCUGUAGCAGGGCACACACUGCUGGCCUGGGGACAGACGUGCCACCAGCAGCGUUUGCCCGUGGUCGCUCCUGGCUCUGCUGUGCCUGCUCACUCCUUGGCUUUGCUCCUGCUGAAACCAGCCCAGCCCUUCGGCCCUCCCCAUUUCAAACCCCUGUGGGGUGGUGGCCAUGACCCUUCCCUUAGCCAGGACCCCCUCUUCAGAUCCCAGAGCUGGCAGAACAGCUCGAAUGCUGAUCAGAAUACUGCAGGAACCAGGGCUGAGGAUACUCUGAAUUGCUAAGCAUUAAUAUUUGAUGCAUUUCAAUAUUUAAAGAGCUAAGAUAAUUUUAAAAAUACUGUCACUUUUUAAAAUUAUUUGUAGGCAACUUAUAAUGGAGCAAAUCCACUUGGAAUGAACAAUAUUUUGGCUAGGGUAGAUGUAUGGCUCAGACAGCUGCCUACAUUUAUUUAAAACAUCAGAGAAAUGACAAUUUUGAAAUUCUCUGCUAGAAACCUCAGGUCUCAACAGGCCAGACU